rnacentral:rRNA from 1 species
AGUGGCGCACGGGUGCGUAACGCGUAUGCAACCUACCUUAAUCUGGGGGAUAGCCCGGAGAAAUCCGGAUUAAUACCGCAUAAAAUCACAGGAUGGCAUUAUCCAAUGAUCAAACAUUUAUGGGAUUGAGAUGGGCAUGCGUGUCAUUAGCUAGUUGGCGGGGUAACGGCCCACCAAGGCGACGAUGACUAGGGGAUCUGAGAGGAUGGCCCCCCACACUGGUACUGAGACACGGACCAGACUCCUACGGGAGGCAGCAGUAAGGAAUAUUGGUCAAUGGAGGCAACUCUGAACCAGCCAUGCCGCGUGCAGGAAGACUGCCCUAUGGGUUGUAAACUGCUUUUAUCCGGGAAUAAACCUAAGUACGUGUACUUAGCUGAAUGUACCGGAAGAAUAAGGAUCGGCUAACUCCGUGCCAGCAGCCGCGGUAAUACGGAGGAUCCAAGCGUUAUCCGGAUUUAUUGGGUUUAAAGGGUGCGUAGGCGGCCUGUUAAGUCAGGGGUGAAAGACGGUAGCUCAACUAUCGCAGUGCCCUUGAUACUGAUGGGCUUGAAUGGACUAGAGGUAGGCGGAAUGAGACAAGUAGCGGUGAAAUGCAUAGAUAUGUCUCAGAACACCGAUUGCGAAGGCAGCUUACUAUGGUCCUAUUGACGCUGAGGCACGAAAGCGUGGGGAUCAAACAGGAUUAGAUACCCUGGUAGUCCACGCCCUAAACGAUGAACACUCGCUGUUGGCGAUACACAGUCAGCGGCUAAGCGAAAGCGUUAAGUGUUCCACCUGGGGAGUACGCUCGCAAGAGUGAAACUCAAAGGAAUUGACGGGGGCCCGCACAAGCGGAGGAGCAUGUGGUUUAAUUCGAUGAUACGCGAGGAACCUUACCCGGGCUUGAAAGU